rnacentral:rRNA from 1 species
UGAGGAAUAUUGGUCAAUGGGCGGAAGCCUGAACCAGCCAAGUCGCGUGAGGGAAGACGGUCCUAUGGAUUGUAAACCUCUUUUGUCGGGGAGCAAAGCGGAGCACGUGUGCUUCGAAGGAGAGUACCCGAAGAAAAAGCAUCGGCUAACUCCGUGCCAGCAGCCGCGGUAAUACGGAGGAUGCGAGCGUUAUCCGGAUUUAUUGGGUUUAAAGGGUGCGUAGGCCGGCUGUCAAGUCAGCGGUCAAACUCCGGGGCUCAACCCCGGAUUGCCGUUGAAACUGGCGGUCUUGAGUGAGCGAGAAGUAUGCGGAAUGCGUGGUGUAGCGGUGAAAUGCAUAGAUAUCACGCAGAACUCCGAUUGCGAAGGCAGCAUACCGGCGCUCAACUGACGCUGAGGCACGAAGGCGUGGGGAUCGAACAGG